ACCUUUACCUAUCAAGCAGGUGCUGCCAUUUGGCGGCUUAAUAGGGAAAGCGGUGAAAAUCCGCUGCAGCCCCCGCUACUGUGAGCACUGACAAGCCCUCAAAAAAUUUUUGCCACUGGAAGGUUGGGUUCCUCUUUUGAAAGUGGAGCUUGCCUUCUGGGAAGGUGCUGAGGGUGAGGAUGAGGUGCGAGCCAGGAGACCUGCCUGCUUGAGAUGCCUUGA
rnacentral:ncRNA from 2 species